CCUACGGGAGGCAGCAGUGGGGAAUAUUGGACAAUGGGGGGAACCCUGAUCCAGCCAUGCCGCGUGUGUGAAGAAGGCCCUCGGGUUGUAAAGCACUUUCAGUGAGGAAGAACGCCUGGUGGUUAAUACCCAUCAGGAAAGACAUCACUCACAGAAGAAGCACCGGCUAACUCCGUGCCAGCAGCCGCGGUAAUACGGAGGGUGCGAGCGUUAAUCGGAAUUACUGGGCGUAAAGCGCGCGUAGGUGGCUUGAUAAGCCGGUUGUGAAAGCCCCGGGCUCAACCUGGGAACGGCAUCCGGAACUGUCGAGCUAGAGUGCAGGAGAGGAAGGUAGAAUUCCCGGUGUAGCGGUGAAAUGCGUAGAGAUCGGGAGGAAUACCAGUGGCGAAGGCGGCCUUCUGGACUGACACUGACACUGAGGUGCGAAAGCGUGGGUAGCAAACAGGAUUAGAUACCCCAGUAGUC
rnacentral:rRNA from 1 species